rnacentral:rRNA from 1 species
GACGAACGCUGGCGGCGUGCCUAAUACAUGCAAGUUGAGCGCUGAAGGUUGGUACUUGUACCAACUGGAUGAGCAGCGAACGGGUGAGUAACGCGUGGGGAAUCUGCCUUUGAGCGGGGGACAACAUUUGGAAACGAAUGCUAAUACCGCAUAAAAACUUUAAACACAAGUUUUAAGUUUGAAAGAUGCAAUUGCAUCACUCAAAGAUGAUCCCGCGCUGUAUUAGCUAGUUGGUGAGGUAAAGGCUCACCAAGGCGAUGAUACAUAGCCGACCUGAGAGGGUGAUCGGCCACAUUGGGACUGAGACACGGCCCAAACGCCUACGGGAGGCAGCAGUAGGGAAUCUUCGGCAAUGGACGAAAGUCUGACCGAGCAACGCCGCGUGAGUGAAGAAGGUUUUCGGAUCGUAAAACUCUGUUGGUAGAGAAGAACGUUGGUGAGAGUGGAAAGCUCAUCAAGUGACGGUAACUACCCAGAAAGGGACGGCUAACUACGUG